AUUGAACGCUGGCGGAAUGCUUUACACAUGCAAGUCGAACGGCAGCACGGACUUCGGUCUGGUGGCGAGUGGCGAACGGGUGAGUAAUACAGCGGAACGUGCCCAAUCGUGGGGGAUAACGUAGCGAAAGCUACGCUAAUACCGCAUACGACCUAAGGAUGAAAGCGGGGGAUCGCAAGACCUCGAGCGAUUGGAUCGGCCGAUGGCAGAUUAGUUAGUUGGUAGGGUAAAGGCCUACCAAGCCGACGAUCUGUAGCUGGUCUGAGAGGAUGAUCAGCCACACUGGGACUGAGACACGGCCCAGACUACUACGGGAGGCAGCAGUGGGGAAUUUUGGACAAUGGACGCAAGUCUGAUACAGCCAUUCCGCGUGCAGGAUGAAGGCCCUCGGGUUGUAAACUGCUUUUGUACAGAACGAAAAGGCUCUGGUUAAUACCUAGGGCUCAUGACGGUACUGUAAGAAUAAGCACCGGCUAACUACGUGCCAGCAGCCGCCGUAA
rnacentral:rRNA from 1 species